AAAUUUGAGAGUUCGAUCCUGGCUCAGGAUAAACGCCGGCGGCGUGCCUAAUACAUGCAAGUCGAACGAGGCUCUUCGGAGCCGAGUGGCGUACGGGUGAGUAACACGUUGGUAACCUGCCCUCCAGACCGGAAUACCAGAGAGAAAUCUCUGCUAAUGCCGGAUGACGUCAUAUGGUCGCAAGACCACUUGACCAAAGGCGGCAACUGCCGCGCUGAAGGAUGGACCUGCGUCGCAUUAGCUAGUUGGCGGGAUAAUGGCCCACCAAGGCGAGGAUGCGUAGCCGAGCUGAGAGGCUAAACGGCCACAUUGGGACUGAGACACGGCCCAGACUCCUACGGGAGGCAGCAGUAGGGAGUAUUUGGCAAUGGGGGAAACCCUGACCGAGCAACGCCGCGUGUGUGAUGAAGGCCUUCGGGUCGUAAAACACUGUGAUUCUCUGGGAAACUCAUGGGGAGUGGAAAGCCUCAUGACUGACCGGACUAUUAGAAAGCAACUGCUAACUACGUGCCAGCAGCAGCGGUAAUACGUAGGUUGCAAGCGUUAUCCGGAAUUAUUGGGCGUAAAGAGUGAGCAGGCGGCUUUGCAAGCCGGGGGUCAAAGGCAGUGGCUUAACCAUUGUUCGUCCCCGGAACUGCAUGGCUAGAGUGCUGGAGAGGCAAGCGGAACUCCACAUGUAGCGGUGAAAUGCGCAGAUAUGUGGAAGAACACCAGUGGCGAAGGCGGCUUGCUAGACAGUAACUGACGCUCAGUCACGAAAGCGUGGGGAGCAAAUAGGCUUAGAUACCCUAGUAGUCCACGCCGUAAACGUUGAGGACCAGGUGUCGGGGGCAUACCUCGGCGCCACAGCUAACGCAUUGAGUCCUCCGCCUGGGUACUACGUUCGCAAGAAUAAAACUUAAAGGAAUUGACGGGGGCCCGCACAAGCAGUGGAGCAUGUGGUUUAAUUCGUGGCUACGCGGAAAACCUUACCUGGGUUUGACAUCUUCUCAAAGGCCCUAGAGAUAGGGAGAUAGUUAUGGGAAUGAACGGUGGUGCAUGGCUGUCGUCAGCUCGUGUCGUGAGAUGUUGGGUUAAGUCCCGCAACGAGCGCAACCCCCGUCUUCAGUUGCCAUCAUUCAGUUGGGCACUCUGGAGAGACUGCCGACGCAAGUCGGAGGAAGAUGGGGAUGACGUCAAGUCAUCACGCCCCUUAUGCCCAGGGCGACACACGUGCUACAAUGGUCGGUACAACGCGUUGCGACACCGCGAGGUGAAGCGGAUCGCUCAAAGCCGACCCCAGUACGGAUCGGAGUCUGCAAUUCGACUCCGUGAAGCCGGAAUUGCUAGUAAUCGCGGAUCAGCAUUGCCGCGGUGAAUACGUUCCCGGGCCUUGUACACACUGCCCGUCACACCAUGAGAGCCGGCAAGGCCCGAAAGCGUUUGUCUAACCGCAAGGAGGACGGCGUCUAAGGCAGGGCCGGUGAUUGGGGUUAAGUCGAAACAAGGUAUCCCUUCGAGAACGAGGGGAUGGAUCACCUCCUUUCU
rnacentral:rRNA from 1 species